rnacentral:rRNA from 1 species
UGGGGAAUUUUGCACAAUGGGGGAAACCCUGAUGCAGCGACGCCGCGUGAUUUAGAAGGCCUUCGGGUUGUAAAAAUCUUUUGUAUGGGAAGAAAAUGACAGUACCAUACGAAUAAGGACCGGCUAAUUACGUGCCAGCAGCCGCGGUAAUACGUAAGGUCCGAGCGUUGUCCGGGAUCAUUGGGCGUAAAGGGUACGUAGGCGGAUAAGCAAGUUAGAAGUGAAAUCCUAUAGCUCAACUAUAGUAAGCUUUUAAAACUGCUCAUCUUGAGGUAUGGAAGGGAAAGUGGAAUUCCUAGUGUAGCGGUGAAAUGCGCAGAUAUUAGGAGGAAUACCGGUGGCGAAGGCGACUUUCUGGCCAUAUACUGACGCUGAGGUACGAAAGCGUGGGUAGCAAACAGG